rnacentral:rRNA from 1 species
UGAACGCUGGCGGCGUGCCUAAUACAUGCAAGUCGAGCGAACAGAUGAGGAGCUUGCUCCUCUGACGUUAGCGGCGGACGGGUGAGUAACACGUGGAUAACCUACCUAUAAGACUGGGAUAACUUCGGGAAACCGGAGCUAAUACCGGAUAAUAUAUUGAACCGCAUGGUUCAAUAGUGAAAGACGGUUUUGCUGUUACUUAUAGAUGGAUCCGCGCCGCAUUAGCUAGUUGGUAAGGUAACGGCUUACCAAGGCAACGAUGCGUAGCCGACCUGAGAGGGUGAUCGGCCACACUGGAACUGAGACACGGUCCAGACUCCUACGGGAGGCAGCAGUAGGGAAUCUUCCGCAAUGGGCGAAAGCCUGACGGAGCAACGCCGCGUGAGUGAUGAAGGUCUUCGGAUCGUAAAACUCUGUUAUUAGGGAAGAACAAAUGUGUAAGUAACUAUGCACGUCUUGACGGUACCUAAUCAGAAAGCCACGGCUAACUACGUG